rnacentral:rRNA from 2 species
AAAGGGUGACAAUCUGCAGUCGAGCGGACCUCUUCGGAGGUCAGCGGCGGACGGGUGAGUAACACGUGGGCAACCUGCCUGUAAGACUGGGAUAACUCCGGGAAACCGGAGCUAAUACCGGAUACUAUGUCAAACCGCAUGGUUUGACAUUCAAAGACGGUUUCGGCUGUCACUUACAGAUGGGCCCGCGGCGCAUUAGCUAGUUGGUGAGGUAAUGGCUCACCAAGGCGACGAUGCGUAGCCGACCUGAGAGGGUGAUCGGCCACACUGGGACUGAGACACGGCCCAGACUCCUACGGGAGGCAGCAGUAGGGAAUCUUCCGCAAUGGACGAAAGUCUGACGGAGCAACGCCGCGUGAGUGAUGAAGGUUUUCGGAUCGUAAAACUCUGUUGUCAGGGAAGAACAAGUGCCGGAGUAACUGCCGGCACCUUGACGGUACCUGACCAGAAAGCCACGGCUAACUACGUGCCAGCAGCCGCGGUAAUACGUAGGUGGCAAGCGUUGUCCGGAAUUAUUGGGCGUAAAGCGCGCGCAGGCGGUUUCUUAAGUCUGAUGUGAAAGCCCCCGGCUCAACCGGGGAGGGUCAUUGGAAACUGGGAAACUUGAGUGCAGAAGAGGAGAGUGGAAUUCCACGUGUAGCGGUGAAAUGCGUAGAGAUGUGGAGGAACACCAGUGGCGAAGGCGACUCUCUGGUCUGUAACUGACGCUGAGGCGCGAAAGCGUGGGGAGCGAACAGGAUUAGAUACCCUGGUAGUCCACGCCGUAAACGAUGAGUGCUAAGUGUUAGAGGGUUUCCGCCCUUUAGUGCUGCAGCUAACGCAUUAAGCACUCCGCCUGGGGAGUACGGUCGCAAGACUGAAACUCAAAGGAAUUGACGGGGGCCCGCACAAGCGGUGGAGCAUGUGGUUUAAUUCGAAGCAACGCGAAGAACCUUACCAGGUCUUGACAUCCUUUGCCACUUCUAGAGAUAGAAAGGUUCCCCUUCGGGGGACAAAGUGACAGGUGGUGCAUGGGUUGUCGUCAGCUCGUGUCGUGAGAUGUUGGGUUAAGUCCCCGCAACGAGCGCAACUCCUUUG